UGCAACGCGAAAACCUUAACCUACCCUUGACAUGUCUGGAACCUUGCUGAGAGGCGAGGGUGCCUUCGGGAGCCAGAACACAGGUGCUGCAUGGCUGUCGUCAGCUCGUGUCGUGAGAUGUUGGGUUAAGUCCCGCAACGAGCGCAACCCUUAUCCCCAGUUGCCAUCAGGUAAAGCUGGGAACUCUGGGGAGACUGCCGGUGAUAAACCGGAGGAAGGCGGGGAUGACGUCAAGUCCUCAUGGCCCUUACAUCCCGGGCUACACACGUGCUACAAUGGCAGGUACAGAGGGCUGCGAAGCCGCGAGGUGGGGCGAAUCCCAGAAAACCUGUCUCAGUCCGGAUUGAAGUCUGCAACUCGACUUCAUGAAGGCGGAAUCGCUAGUAACCGCGAAUCAGCAGGUCGCGGUGAAUACGUUCCCGGGCCUU
rnacentral:rRNA from 1 species